rnacentral:rRNA from 1 species
CAAAGCAGCCAUUCAUUUAAAGAGUGCGUAACAGCUCACUAGUCGAGCGAUCGGGCAUGGAUAAUAAACGGGCAUUAAGCGUUAUACCGAAGCUAUGGAUUUGCAGCAAUGCAUCUGGUAGGGGAGCAUUCUACUAGCGGAGAAGCAGGAGGGACAACCGACUGUGGAGCGAGUAGAAAAGCAAAUGUAGGCAUAAGUAACGAUAAGGCGGGAGAGAAACCCGCCCACCGAAAGACUAAGGUUUCCUGAUCAACGCUAAUCGGAUCAGGGUUAGUCGGGGCCUAAGGUGAAGCCGAAGGGCGUAGCCGAUGGACAACUGGUUAAUAUUCCAGUACUUUUUAUAACUGCGAUGCGGUGACGGAGUAGUGACACUGACGCGAACUGACGGAAUAGUUCGUUAAAGGCUGUAGGUAUAGGUUUGGUAGUUAAGUACGCCAGAUUUGCUGAAAGCUGAUAGUACCUUGAACCUUCGGGGGAUGGGAUAGUUCAGGUAAUCAGACUUCCAAGAAAACCCGCUAAGCUUCAGGUUAUAAAAACCCGUACCGUAAACCGACACAGGUAGUCGAGGAGAGAAUCCUAAGGUGCUCGAGUGAAUCAUGGCUAAGGAACUCGGCAAAAUGGCCCUGUAACUUCGGGAGAAGGGGCGCUCUCAGCAAUGGAAGCCGCAGUGAAAAGGCCCAGGCGACUGUUUAACAAAAACACAUGGCUUUGCAAAAUCGAAAGAUGACGUAUAAGGCCUGACACCUGCCCGGUGCCGGAAGGUUAAGAGGGGAUGUUAGUCGCAAGGCGAAGCAUUGAAUUGAAGCCCCGGUAAACGGCGGCCGUAACGAUAACGGUCCUAAGGUAGCGAAAUUCCUUGUCGGGUAAGUUCCGACCUGCACGAAUGGUGUAACGAUCUGGGCGCUGUCUCAGCCAUGAGCUCGGUGAAAUUGUGGUAUCGGUGAAGACGCCGGUUACCCGCAACGGGACGGAAAGACCCCAUGCACCUUCACUACAACUUAACAUUGAUAUCGGAUACAGGAUGUGUAGGAUAGGUGGGAGACUGUGAUCUGGCUUCGCUAGGAGUCAGUUAGUCAACGUUGAAACACCACCCUUUUUGUAUCUGGUGUCUAAUCCCGCAUAGCGGGAGACAUUGUUUGGCGGGUAGUUUGACUGGGGUGGUCGCCUCCAAAAAGGUAACGGAGGCUUUCAAAGGUAAGCUCAGUACGCUUGGUAACCGUACGUGGAGUGCAAUAGCAUAAGCUUGCUUGACAGUGAGGCAGACAAGCCGAGCUGGGUCGAAAGACGGAUAUAGUGAUCCGGUGGUUCUGCAUGGAAGGGCCAUCGCUCAAAGGAUAAAAGGUACGCUGGAUAACAGGCUGAUCUCCCCCAAGAGCUCAUAUCGACGGGGAGGUUUGGCACCUCGAUGUCGGCUCGUCACAUCCUGGGGCUCAAA